UACGUAGGGGGCAAGCGUUGUCCGGAUUUAUUGGGCGUAAAGAGCGUGUAGGCGGCCAUACAGGUCCGUUGUGAAAACUGGAGGCUUAACCUCCAGACGUCGAUGGAAACCGUAUGGCUAGAGUCCGGAAGAGGAGAGUGGAAUUCCUGGUGUAGCGGUGAAAUGCGCAGAUAUCAGGAAGACCACCCGUGGCGAAGGCGGCUCUCUGGGACGGUACUGACGCUGAGACGCGAAAGCGUGGGGAGCGAACAGG
rnacentral:rRNA from 1 species